rnacentral:rRNA from 1 species
GACGAACUGUGCGAACGUUGUUCGGAAUCACUGGGCUUAAAGGGUGCGUAGGCGGCUUGUUAAGUCGGGGGGUGAAAUACUUCGGCUCAACCGGAGAAUUGCCUUCGAUACUGGCGAGCUGGAGGAAGGUAGGGGUCGCGGGAACUGCCAGUGGAGCGGUGAAAUGCGUUGAUAUUGGCAGGAACGCCGGGUGGUGAAGACGCGCGGCUGGACCUUUUCUGACGCUGAGUGCACGGAAAGCCCAGGGGAGCAAACGGG